UACGAAGGGUGCAAGCGUUACUCGGAAUUACUGGGCGUAAAGCGUGCGUAGGUGGUUUGUUAAGUCUGUUGUGAAAGCCCCGGGCUCAACCUGGGAAUGGCAAUGGAUACUGGCAAGCUAGAGUGCGGUAGAGGGUAGUGGAAUUCCGGUGUAGCGGUGAAAUGCGUAGAGAUCGGGAGGAACACCAGUGGCGAAGGCGGCUACCUGGACCAGCACUGACACUGAGGCACGAAAGCGUGGGAGCAAACAGG
rnacentral:rRNA from 1 species